UGUGAAGGUUCUAGCGUAUAUCUAAAUAUAUUAGAUAGAAUAUUAUGUAAUUGAUUUGUAUUGAUUUCCUUUCCUUUUUGGACAUGUAAACUUAGCUAUUUAAACCCAAUAGCUUGAGGGAAUAAUCAAGCUGAGUUCACUCUCAUUUCUCUUCCGAUUCACACUGUGAAAAACUUUUUCACAUUCUUGUUUUCCUCACAGGUUGUCUUUAAAUUUUGAUGGAAUGUAUCUUCAUAAAAAUUAAGUAGUGGGUGUAACUGUUACAUGGAGAUGUGACUGAUUAGUAAAUGCAUUGUAGUGGCGUAACUUUAGGGGCAAGUAUUAAUAGGUGGUAGGUUUUGGUGCAGGGAGAUACUUGUCUUUCCUUUUGCUCUUUUGACUCAAAGCUUGAUGAUCUGGAGCACUUCCCCUUGCGCUUCUGUUUUUAUGGAAACUGGAAGCAUCAUUCCUAGUUUCCUUUUCCAGAAUUAAUCAGGUUGUGUAUUUUCAUAAAAGUCAAUGUGAAGAGAAUAGAAUGGGAUUUGUAUUAACUGGUGGAGCUCUGCUUUUUCCUUGUCUUGUUUUCAUUUUUUUUUUUCAUUUGUACUAAAUUUAACUUAAGCACUAGAUAAAUAGGUUUAUCAGUCCUUUUAAUGAUGACACAAAGCUGAAGGUGAAGGAGAAUAGAAUGAGAUUAUUUAUACUUGGCAGAGAUUAUGGAACACUUUGUGGAGUUUAGGCUUUAGAUUUAUUUUUACGUUUAACUUAUCGACUGGUCAAUUGGGUUCAUCAGUCAUUUUGUGUGAAGUUGAGUAUGGUAAUUGCAGAUAUCUUUGUGGCUGGUAUUAGUUCGAUCCAGCCUUCUUAUUCUGUUUGGUUUUCUGUCCAAACUUAGCACUAAAAUGAGCUUUUGUUGUUGUAGCAAAAGGCUUACUUUGUAUAGCUGUUUGUAAGAGCAUCAAUGACACCAGCUAUAAAGAUCUUGGUUAUGUAAUUUAUAGGCGAGUCUUGCGUUAUUACUCUGGAGAGGAGGAUGGGUUGGAUAUGAAAAAGGCUUUACCGUAAGACGUUCAAAAGAAGUCUAUCAUUCCCCUCAAUCGACCAGUUACUCCUGAUCAAUUGAAGUAUGACUGAUUCAGUUUAAACGUACUCUUGUCCUAGAAUUUAUUGCAAAAUGUGUUACCUUGCAUUUCUUUUCAAGAAGCCGAGGUUAGUUUAGGCAUCAUGAGUUGGCUUUUGUAAGGUCAUUGUCAUCCAUUGUCAAAAUCUAAAGGUGUAUUGAACUGGGAGCAUUCAUUUUAGUGCUUUUCACAAAGGUGGAGAAUUCCAGUUAGAUCUAUUGAUGUUUUGAUCAUGAAA